rnacentral:misc_RNA from 1 species
GGGGAAGGGAAUAACAAGGUACCUGGGAGGCUGGGAGUGUAUUUUUCAAUCAUUCUUUGAAAUAUGCCAGAUAAAUUGAUUAUUUCAUGUUCUCAAUAAGUGAUUAUUUUGUGUAUAGUCGGUAUUUGCUAUUGAAACGGAAAUGCUCUUAUCCAUUUGGUUAUAAUGUUAGUUGCCUUAAUUAAUUCUGUAAGCAUCAUAUUAUUUCUUGUUGUUUUCAAUGUAUUUAGGGUUUGAAGGUUCUUGAUAACU